GGCGGGGCGACCUCAGCAACUACCAUAAAUAGCUGACUCCAUUCUACACACACCAAAGCAAGCUGCAAAACCCGCAGAGAGAGAACGAUGAAGCUAAAAGUUUGUCGAUCGAAUGUCCCAACCGUCUCGUGCAAUUCUCCUCUUCUGCAAGGCAUAUGGAAUUGAUUUUGAGGAGAUCAAAGUAGAUCUUUUCAAGCGUCAACAUUUAGCCCCUGAAUUUGCAGAAGUAAAUCCUUUGAGACAAGUUCCGGCUAUAGUUGAUGGCAGAUUUAAGCUGUUUGAGAGGAUUGGUUCCCCAAAAAUAGUUAAAAGUGCAGUUUUGAGGAAUUCUUGAAGAAUCAAAGCACGCCGUUGCUGGGAGCCAUCAUUUUGGCCAAGCCAAGUGAUUCAUUGAGCUCGUGAGUUUUGCUGCAUCAUACCUAGGAUGAAGACCGUGUCAAUCGAUCGAUCCAAAGCAGUUCAAGUAAAAAGGGGUGAAAGCAGUGAAGCCAGCAGACGCGGGCGCCCGCAUGGAAUCCGCAGGCGCCCGCCAAAGUCUCCAGAGGCACCAUGCUCCCGCGGGCGCCCGCCAAAUCAUCUAGUAGCCAUCCUCGUCCGCGGGCACCCGCCUCUUUUACAGACAAGCCAGCAUGGUCUCCUUUUCUCUUCACCAAAUGUAAUCCCUUAAUUUAGGGGAUUGCUCUGAAUGGUCUGGGGGUUGGAGGACCACAUAUUUGGGGUAGAAAGAUGGCUAAAGGGAUAUAUUAGAGGGGUAUCUCAUAUUUUGGCUAAGUUUAAAGAGAGAAAUAUUGGGUUUAAGUGGGUUUGUGUGCUAAGGAGCCCCUAAGUGCGAAAAUGGAGGGUGAUGCCUCUUCUUCUCCUUCAUUCCUUGCAUCCAUGGGUAACUAACUCCCUAUUUAGGGAGGUGAUGAAGCCUUUCAUUGUAAGCAUAUUCUAGUUUUGAUUCUAUUCUGGGGAAAAUGAUGUAUUUUUGUGGUUGUUCCAUAAUCUAGAGCUUGCGCUUGAUGUAAUGAAUUGAAAUUGAUAUAAAUGAUCAUGUUGAAUCUAC